GUCAGACCAUGCAAAAAGUCAGUCCCCCUCCUGCUUAUAAGCUCCAAUUUCCUGAAAGAAAACAGUGCUCAGUGACAGACAGACAUCCCUUUCCAUCAGGUGGAAACCAUCGGUGACGCCUACAUGGUAGUGAGCGGCCUGCCAGAGAGGAACGGCACAAAACAUGCAGAUGAGAUUGCCAAAAUGUCUCUGGAUCUCGUGGCAGCCGUUCGUCAGGUCGUGAUCCCUCACAUGCCAGCAGGCAGGCUGCAGCUGAGGGCUGGGAUACACACGGGACCCUGCGUAGCUGGAGUUGUGGGCUACAAAAUGCCUCGUUACUGCCUUUUUGGGGACACUGUAAACACUGCCUCACGCAUGGAGUCCACCAGCUUGCGUAAGUGGCUCUGGCACAAGGGGAGGGAGAUGUAGGAGGCCAUGGGGGAUAUGCAGGCCAUGAAGGAACUGUAGGAUGCCAUAAGGGAGCUGCAGGAUGCCAUAAGGGAGCUGCAGGAUGUCAUAACUGAGCUGCAGGAUGCCAUAAGGGAGCUGUAGGCUCUAUGAGAAGCUGCAGGAUGUCAUAACUGAGCUGCAGGAUGCCAUAAGGGAGCUGCAGGCUCUAUGAGAAGCUGCAGGAUGCCAUAAGAAAGCUGUAGGAUGCCAUGAGAGUGCUGCAGGCUAUGAAGGAACCAUAGGAUGCUAUGAGAGACCUGCAGGAUGCCAUAAGGGAACUGCAGGAUGCCACAAGGGAGCUUUAGGCCGUCCUUUCUGUACUGUGGUGCCCAGAAUUGCACCCAGUACGGCAGGUGAGGUGGUACCAGGGCAAGAUAGAUUGGCACAGUCCCUCAACCAUCCAGCAGCACGGUCUCCAGGAAUGGAGCAGUCAUUCCUUUCUAAUGUUCUGUUCUGAAUCCUAGCACAGAAGAUCCACAUCAGCUCUGCUACAUACAAUGCCCUUCUCACAGAUGAUGCCUACGAAAUUGAACUGAGAGGAGAAAUUGAAGUCAAGGGCAAAGGGAAAAUGAAAACCUACUGGCUUCUCGGUAACAAGAACUACAGUGUCCAAAAUGACAGCCUGGUGUGUCAAUGGAAUCCAGCUAUCUCCAAGAAAAGGAAGAUGGGAAGUAGCCAUGGAUCUGCCCAACAACUUAGUGCAGGCACUGUGGGAGCAGUACUGACUGAGCAGAGCCCUGUAACACCCUGGGAUGAGCUGAACCCUGACAGUCCCACUCAAGGGACUUCUAGACUUGCCUGGACCUCUAAGAGUGCCAUCCAUGGAAUGAGCCAGAAGCAGAAGAAUGGCUGUCAUCAAACUUCCAGCCAGGACAUGCAAGGGGAUCUUGCUUCAUCGAGUCCUCCUGCUCUGGGUGCUGAUGUAGAAUGCAGGGCACAGCUUGGAGACCAUGGUAUGAAAGUAACAGGACAAAAAGAGUUUCUCCCAGGCGCUGUAGAUGAGAUGUGAAUGAGAUGUGACAGGGUUAGAAAUGACUUAUGCUGGAGAACUGGACUGCCUCGAGCACACACACUGGUUUUACAUAGCUUUCUCUUCUUCCUCUUAGCCAUAAUUCACUUCUUAAAGCAUUCUAUUACUUGAGAACUGAAGACACCAAUAGAAAUAUAGAAAGAUGUCUCCAGAAGACAUUAGAAGGAAAAGCUAUUUCUCUCAUCAAAUUAUAGUUUGCUUUCCUUUGCUUGUUGCAGGAAAAGACCCCUCUGUAACGACAAGCAGUGCAAAAUUGUAAAUUUCUCUAUGUACAACUAAGAAAAAUGUGGGCAAAUUGAAUUGCUUCCUGAUGGUGACCAUGGCUAAACUCCAUGCAGAGUUCAAUUCAUUUCUUAGUGGGCUGCACUCACUUGUUGUCAUUAAUUCUGUCCUAUCCUGCAAUCCACCUGCUUGGGGAAUCAUUCUGAAGCAAAAAUGCGAGAGAGAGAGCUUGGCCUGUCUCCUCUUCCAGUAGAUAGGUUUGUAUCUGAUUAUUUAAGAGAUUCUGGGGGAGGAAAGGCAGGGCUUAAUGGCUGCAAAAGGUAACAAGAAUAAAGGCAUACACUUAGAAGGAAGUCAAGCAUAGAAAGCUGUAAUUGGAUUUUGUUUUUCCUAAAAUAAAAGUAGUUUUAUGGGCUUCUGAGGAAGCUGGUCUGCACAUCUCUUUUCAUUCAUGGAGUUAAAAAAAAGACUGAAAAAAACACAUCUAUGUUGAUGGCCUGUAUGGAAAAAGAGUGGAAUCCUUUCAUCUGGUUCCUGUCAGCACUCAGCAAGUGGGAUCAAAUGUGGAUAAAACA